UACGAAGGUCCCAAGCGUUAUCCGGAUUUAUUGGGUUUAAAGGGCUCGUAGGCGGUUUGUCGCGUCGGGAGUGAAAUCCACUGGCUUAACUGGUGGCUUGCUUUCGAUACGGGCAGACUGGAGGUAUGCAGGGGAGAACGGAAUUCCUGGUGUAGCGGUGAAAUGCGCAGAUAUCAGGAGGAACACCGGUGGCGAAGGCGGUUCUCUGGGCAUGUCCUGACGCUGAGGAGCGAAAGUGUGGGGAGCGAACAGG
rnacentral:rRNA from 1 species